rnacentral:rRNA from 1 species
GUGCCAGCCGCCGCGGUAAUACAGAGGGUGCGAGCGUUGUUCGGAAUCACUGGGCGUAAAGCGCGCGCAGGCGGGCGUGUAAGUCAGAAGUGAAAUUCCGGGGCUCAACCCCGGAGCUGCUCCUGAUACUGCAGGUCUGGAGACCGGUAGAGGCUGGUGGAAUUCCCGGUGUAGCGGUGGAAUGCGUAGAGAUCGGGAAGAACACCCGUGGCGAAGGCGGCCAGCUGGGCCGGUUCUGACGCUGAGGCGCGAAAGCGUGGGGAGCAAACAGGAUUAGAUACCCGCGUAGUCC